GUGGGGAAUAUUGGACAAUGGGCGAAAGCCUGAUCCAGCAAUGCCGCGUGAGUGAUGAAGGCCUUAGGGUUGUAAAGCUCUUUUACCAGGGAUGAUAAUGACAGUACCUGGAGAAUAAGCUCCGGCUAACUCCGUGCCAGCAGCCGCGGUAAUACGGAGGGAGCUAGCGUUGUUCGGAAUUACUGGGCGUAAAGCGCACGUAGGCGGUUACUCAAGUCAGAGGUGAAAGCCCGGGGCUCAACCCCGGAACUGCCUUUGAAACUAGGUAACUAGAAUCUUGGAGAGGUCAGUGGAAUUCCGAGUGUAGAGGUGAAAUUCGUAGAUAUUCGGAAGAACACCAGUGGCGAAGGCGACUGACUGGACAAGUAUUGACGCUGAGGUGCGAAAGCGUGGGGAGCAAACAGGAUUAGAUACCCCUGUAGUCC
rnacentral:rRNA from 1 species